rnacentral:lncRNA from 1 species
UUAAAUUAAUCCCACUCCAAUUUAAUUUUUAAAUAUAAAUUUAUAAUUUUAAUUUUAAUUUAUAAAUUUUAAAAAUUUAUAAUUUGUAAUCUUAAAAUUAAUAUUAAUAUUUUUAAAUUUUAUUUUUUAUUUUUUAAAUUUUAUUUUUAAUUGUUUAAAUUUUAAAUUUGACAUUUUAUAUUUGAAAUUUUAAAAAUUUAUAAUUUGCAAUCUUAAAAUUAAUAUUUAUUGUUUAAAUUUUAAAUUUUAAUUUAUAAUUAAUUUGCAGUCCGAUAUAGACGACUUAAUUCUGCUAAAAUUUAAUAACAAGAUCGAUUUUCUUACAUAGAAAAUCCUACGCACGGAAUUGUCGACAAUUUGAAACCCAACAAAAGCAGUUGUGAGGUCGAAUCACGGCAUACAUGCACAAAUCGUGCUUCAUUCCUAAUUAGCACACACACACACAUUAGUGUAUUAAAACAGAAAUGAAUUUUGUUAAUCCGACACUCUAAUUAACUAAGCCAACUACAUUUUCUGCUGAGAAAAAAAAUGAGAAAAAAAAGAAAAGAAAAGGAGAAGUAUAUCUACUACCGUCCUAUCAGUGCA